GUAGGUGAACCUGCGGAAGGAUCAUUAUUGAAAUCCUUAGGAUGUUGCUGGCCCUUCUGGGGGCAUGUGCACUCCGCCUUUUCUAUUCACCUGUGAACUUAUUGUAGGCCGGACGUAAGUCUGUGUCUAUGUUUUUACACACACCCUUUUAAAAAGUUUAAAGAAUGUCUAAGUAGGCCUUCGUUGGCUGAAAUAUAUAUAAUACAACUUUCAACAAUGGAUCUCUUGGUUCUC
rnacentral:misc_RNA from 1 species